rnacentral:rRNA from 1 species
AGUGAACGCUGGCGGUAGGCCUAACACAUGCAAGUCGAACGGCAGCACAGUAAGAGCUUGCUCUUACGGGUGGCGAGUGGCGGACGGGUGGGGAAUACAUCGGACUCUACUUUUUCGUGGGGGAUAACGUAGGGAAACUUACGCUAAUACCGCAUACGACCUACGGGUGAAAGCAGGGGAUCUUCGGACCUUGCGCGAUUGAAUGAGCCGCUGUCGGAUUAGCUAGUUGGCGGGGUAAAGGCCCACCAAGGCGACGAUCCGUAGCUGGUCUGAGAGGAUGAUCAGCCACACUGGAACUGAGACACGGUCAAGACUCCUACGGGAGGCAGCAGUGGGGAAUAUUGGACAAUGGGCGCAAGCCUGAUCCAGCCAUACCGCGUGGGUGAAGAAGGCGUUCGGGUUGUAAAGCCCUUUUGUUGGGAAAGAAAAGCAGCAGGUUAAUACCCCGCGGUUCUGACGGUAACCAAAGAAUAAGCACCGGCUAACUUCGUG